rnacentral:tRNA from 1 species
GCACAGGUAGGAAAGUGGCCAAAUCCGCUGGCUUGAGGUGCCAGUCCCUUAGUGGGUUCGGCGGUUCGACUCCGCCCCUGUGCA